rnacentral:rRNA from 1 species
UACGUAGGGUGCGAGCGUUAAUCGGAAUUACUGGGCGUAAAGCGUGCGCAGGCGGUUUUGUAAGGCAGAUGUGAAAUCCCCGGGCUUAACCUGGGAAUGGCAUUUGGGACUGCAAGGCUGGAGUGCGGCAGAGGAGACUGGAAUUCCUGGUGUAGCAGUGAAAUGCGUAGAUAUCAGGAGGAACACCGGUGGCGAAGGCAGGUCUCUGGGCUGACACUGACGCUCAUGCACGAAAGCGUGGGGAGCAAACAGG